rnacentral:rRNA from 1 species
UACGGGGGGGGCAAGCGUUGUUCGGAAUUACUGGGCGUAAAGGGCUCGUAGGCGGCCAACUAAGUCAGACAUGAAAUCCCUCGGCUUAACCGGGGAACUGCAUCUGAUACUGGAUGGCUUGAGGUUGGGAGAGGGAUGCGGAAUUCCAGGUGUAGCGGUGAAAUGCGUAGAUAUCUGGAGGAACACCGGUGGCGAAGGCGGCAUCCUGGACCAAUUCUGACGCUGAGUGAGCGAAAGCCAGGGGAGCAAACGGG